AAAAAAAUCAGCUCCUCUCCCGGGCGGAAACGCACAAAUUCAAAGGGGAAUUUGGGAAUUAUUUUGCUUCAGCCAUGUUUUGAAAUUUAAUGCAAAGAAUUACUGCAGUGAUCUACUUCAAACAAGGGCCUGGAUUGAAGAAGGGGAUUCGCCAACUGUGUCUGUUCACAUUUUUCUCUGUUUUUUUCUGAGAAUCCCUAAGUUUCAGGAAUUUUACUCGUCCGGAACAAAUCGGUUAAAAGGUUAUGGACCCAUUUAAAGGAGCACAGGAUGUCAUCAGAUGUGACGUCUGUUCAGACAAUCAGCGGGAAAAAUCCCCGGCUGAAGUCCGCUGCAACACGUGUGACACUAACGUCUGCAGCCCUUGUGUCGCCAGGCACAUGUCAUUUGAUAAAUUAAAGAAACACGAUUUAGUUCUCUUUGAUUUUGAGGACACAAAAAUUAUCUUGCCUUCAUGUUUCUUUCAUCCCCUAACUAAAAUGCGACUUGUUUUGCAGGAAAUGUUUGGUUACGAUUUGUCUGAACUGUUUUGUCUCAAAUCACAACAACCACACGAUUGAAGUACUAACAGAGUUGAGUCAAAAACUCUGUGAGGACAUUCAAAACGAAACGAAGGAACUGCAACAGCGCAUCAUACCAGCUUUUGAAAAAAUGUCAUGUGAGGGGGAUGAAAAUCUCAAGAAAUUGAAUGAAGCGUACGACAAAUUGGAGUCAUCUAUUGAGGAGCGUGGCAAAGUUCUUCAUAGAAGAGUUGAUGCAGUUGUAUCCAAGUACAAAACCAACGUCUAGCUGAGGAAACAAGCUGAUGCAAUGAUUCUACAACUGCAGAAGGAAAAAGUAAACGAAAUAUUGUCAAAAGCAAAACAAGCUGCUGUCAAGAACGAAGCUCUUUUAAAGAUAAAGAAUGCUUUAAAUCUGAUUGCACACAGAUCGGAAAAUGACAAUCUAGGUAAAGUUUCCUCUCUAAGAAUCGUCAUCUGUUCUGAUUUCACACCGAAGCCAAUUCCCGGAGAUCUUCUUGAAAAUAUCUUUGGAGAAAUACCAGAUUCUCAGGUUCCGUUGGACAUAUUAGAGCAUAUAGCUAAUAUUUUUGAAGAAAUGUGAAUCUAAACAAGUAGCCGCUGUUGUUGCAACUCCGGACAGAGUGAUUUUUACAUUCUCUUCUCCCUUUGAGCAGCUUUACAGAAUAGCAUGUACACGCUCCGGAUUGUUACAUAUGGACAAGUGGCAACAAAAUAACAUUUAGUUGUUUAAGUAGGCAUCCUCUAAAAUCUGACCUGGCUUUAAAAUUGACAUGGCUCCACUUUUAGCCUGGCCCCAAACUUGGCCUCUUCAAAAAAUUUUGGCCUAAAAUAUUAAUUUUCUUUUUUAACAUUAUCAUGCAUAGUUUUUUUAAACUGAAUCUUAAUUGAUUUCUCAAGAAACUGAAAAUUUAAUGAUUUUUUUUUAUGUAUAUGGGAUAAUCAUAUCCCAUAAAUCAUGAGAAUUUUUUUUAUUUAUAUUCAAGUGACCUGACUGAUUGAGAUUUAUAGACCUGAUGAGUAUAUAUCAUCCUCGGACUUCGUCCUCGGUCAAUAUAUUCUCAUCAGGUCUAUAAAACUAUGUUAAAAGGCUAUGUAUGUUUUAGCAAAGAAAUAGUUUGUUAAAAUGUGUUUGAGGCCAAAAGCGAGGCCACGCCAACUUUGAGGUCAGGCCAGGAUAAUGGGCCCAGGCCAGCCAGACCAGGUUUUAAAAUAUGCCAAAAUACACAAACUGUUAUUAGAAUAUUAAAGCAAAAUAUCGUUUUAAGAGACUGACCUGAGUAAAGUAUUGAUAAAAAAUAUCUCAAACUUUUGUAAACUGAUUUAUAACAUCAAUUUGCUAUCUCUGUCAGUGUGCAACGCAGUUUAAAAUUGCCAGUUUGCUUCAUUACUUGUCAACAUCAACCAAGCCCAAAUUUCCCUCCCCAGCAGAAAUUCGAUACCGGCCUUUGUUGAUUCGCAUAUGCUAAAACCUGGCCUUGCCUCCCUCACCUUUGGCCUCAAAAUUGGGUUGGCCCCAAUUUUGGCCUGGCCUCAAAUUUAGGCCUGGUCCCUAAUUUGUCCUCUUCAAAAGUUUUUGUCCUCGAUCAAAUUAAAAAAAAAAUAUCAUUUUCUUAGAUUUAGAUUGAAUUUUUUUUUUAAAAAUUUCAAAAAUUGAAAAUUCAAUGAUUUUUUAAUGCUUAAAGAAUAAUUAAUCAUAUGAAAAAUAUAUUUGACAAGUGACUGACUGUUCGAAUUAAAUUAAUUUCAUCCAUGUACAUGUAAAAAAAACACAAAAAAUACCGAUAACAUGCACACACGCCACCGCUCUUACUAUUAUCAAGAAAAAGAUUAUGCCAAUGCAUGUUGAUAUCCAAAACAUUUGUAAACUGGUACAAAGCAUCAAUUUUUAUCACUGUGAAAUGCAUUUUAAAAUUGCCAGUUUGUUUACAUGUCAACACCCAUCAUGCUCAAAUUUCCCUCCACAUACCCCCCUCUUCUGCCGCUAAUCUGCUACAUUAAGGUCAGAUUCAUUGCUUACCUUGUUAUUCAACAUUUCACACAGUCAAGUUUAAUCAAGAUCAUUUGUGAACAUUAUAUCCUUCGAUAAUUUGUCAGUAAUGGUCAAUAAACACCACUUCCUAAUU
rnacentral:misc_RNA from 1 species